UACGUAGGGGGCAAGCGUUGUCCGGAUUUAUUGGGCGUAAAGAGCGUGUAGGCGGUUUGGUAGGUCCGCUGUGAAAACUCGAGGCUCAACCUCGAGACGCCGGUGGAAACCAUCAGACUAGAGUCCGGAAGAGGAGAGUGGAAUUCCUGGUGUAGCGGUGAAAUGCGCAGAUAUCAGGAGGAACACCGGUGGCGAAGGCGGGUCUCUGGGCCGAUAUUGACGCUGAGGAGCGAAAGCGUGGGGAGCGAACAGG
rnacentral:rRNA from 1 species